GAUUACUCUCUCUUUUACUUCCUUCUUCUCCAUUAUUCCUUUGCUCUUUGAUUUUCUUUCUUCUCCUUCUUCCUCUGUUGAUUAUUGGUCUCUUCUGUUUCUCUGUAUUAUUGUUUUUUUGAUGUUAUUUCUUUGCAUCCGGGAAGUGUUGCAUGAGGUUCUACCUGGAAGCGCUGUUCACUUUGUUACUGGAUUUUUGAAGUCAAUGGAUGGCUUAAAAUUGUGAUUACCAAGAAUAAGUAUGCCUUUUCUACUUGAUUCGUCGAACACUUAACUCUGUUGGAUAGAUAUUAGAGCUACCAUUCUUUAAGCUCGCAGGUAUAGAGAAGAAGAGUUGUUUAAUUGGAGUCUUGAGAGGAAACGGAACUAGAAAGCUCGACGAAAGGGAUAAGCUGUAUGAAUUUUCAGAAUAUCCUUAUCCACGAAGGGAAAGAACUAAAAGACCACUAUCAUACACAGCUUUGAAGAUGUAUUGGGAGUUUAUGAACAAGGAGCUCCGGGUUUUCUUAAGCAUCCAAUGCAACACGUUGUGAGAGAAACAGAGAAGCAAGCUUGGAUGUCAGAUGAAGAAUUUGGAAGACAGAUGCUAGCUGGAUUAAAUUCCAUGUGCAUUCUGAGCUCAUCUUUAUUUAAAGCAUUAACAAAUUUGAAAUUUGGUUCGACAUGUGGGUGGAGAGGUCCAAAGUGUUCACUUUGACAAAGUUUAAAAUCUGUUGAUUUUGAUAUCAAGAAAGAGAAUUAGUUUAGUUUUUCCCUUGCAGAUUACUGUAAUUGGGCCCAUGCUGGCACGAGCUGCUUUUAGAACGUGAUUUACUUUUUGCCGCUAAACUAAGCAGAAAUAUUUCAGUGAAAGGGCUUCUUAAAUCUUUACAGAUUCUAUUUGCAAGUAGCUUCUGCUGCAAGAGAAAAGAAAGCUGGAUGAGGGAUUGAAAAAAUUGAGCGAACUUAUAAUAUGCCUUCAGCUAAGAAGCUUCUUGAAAUCCUAUUAGCUGGCGUUGGUAGUUGUAGAAGAACUGAGGAUUGGGCCUAAAGUAAUCAAGAAGCUGGAGACUUCAUCUUUAUGCAAGAAGAUGAAGGCGAGUAAUUACAUUUUGGCUGGACCCAACAACACUGCCCAAAAAAUCAACUUCGGGUUCAUAUGGAGCGAAAUCCUUCUAACAUGGCAAUAGAUUUAGUUAUUCCCGCACUCAAGGUGAAAAGAUCACGGCUGCUUGACCAUUAUAAGGUAGCUCUUCUUUUGAGAAGACAUAGAGCACAUGUGGAUGUUGCGGGCAAGAAAUGAUGCGCUGUACUUGAACAAGCUUCAGAUGAGGUGUGCUCAAAUUUAUGAAGUCAGCUGCUCCUGAUGCUUCUUUAGUUCCUUGGUAAUUCUUUUGGUAGACUAAUAGGCUGGUUAGUGUUAGACUUAACUUUGAGACGAAUGCUAUGAUUUUCCUUUGUGGAAAAGAGUCAAGUAGCUCUUCAGCUUCCAAAUUUAGCUUGAAGUUUGGAUUCAAAAUUUGACCAAGCAAUUUGAUCUCCUAACGCAUUUGCUUUAGACAUUCUUUGAUGGUAUAUUGACAAAGAUGUUCCAUA